CACCAUUCACAUGAGACACACUACACUUCGCCACACUGUCAGUUGCUACGCGGACACCACACCAGUCGGACGUCGGUACCGCCUCCUGAUACGUCGUUACUGCUUCUGUUAUCUGAUGCCCUCCAGUGGUGAACCCAGGCGCUCCUACCCUGGUCAAGCUUGGACGUCAAAAAACCUGCGAGGCCGGGGUCAACACAGGUGUUAACUCAGAUGUCUACAGAAGUUACGGGAGGAAAGGGCCAGAGGAUGGAUCAUAGUUCCACUUUGGCCAUCGCAACCUUGGAUGGGCAUGCUCCUUCGGAUGCUAGUAGAGGACCCUCGGGUCAUACAGAGCAGGAAGAAUGUGCUACUGCAUCCGUCAACUGCAGAGGAGCACCCAAUAAUGAAACACACAAAUUUGAUGGCUUGAUGGUCAGUUGUUAGGACACAACUUGGAGCACGUGGAAUAUCUAGAGAAGGUACGGAAAUCAUCAUGGCUUCAACUUGCGCCCUUCCUCGUACGCCCAGGUAUGCGACAACCUGGGAUGUGAAAUCUGUAUUACAGAAGAAAAGGAUCAUGGAACUACUACACAGCCUCUCUCUGAAAGACUUUUCGCUAAAGUUGGUGAUGCUGAUGGCACUGACACAGGCAGCCAGGAUCCAAACUUUGCACUUAUUAUUGCUGGAAAACAUUGCAUUUAGAGAAGACUCAUUUUCAGUUUUGUUAGGAGGUAACAUCAAGCAAUGCAGGCCAAAAUUUAAUGUUCAUACGAUUGUGUUUAGAGCUUAUACUCAGGAUUAUAGACUGUGUGUAUUUAGGACUAUGAAGGAAUAUAUAGAAAGAACUGAGAGGCUGUGGACAGAAUCUGGGAAUGCAGAUGGGAAACUACUCAUAAGUUAUAUAAAACCUCAUACGAGUGUUUCUAAAGACACGGUGGCCAGGUGGCUUAAGACAAUGUUAGGUAGGUGUGGGAUUGACACCAAGUGGUACACAGCAGAUAGUAUUAGACCUGCAUCAGUCUCUAUGGCAAAGGCACUGAAAGUGCCAAUUGCCACUAUCAUGGCAAAGGCUGGUUGGACACAGGAAGCCACAUUUGCUAAAUAUUAUAAUAAGGAUAUACAAGGGGACAAAGACUCUUUUCAAGAGGUGGUGCUAGGCUCAGUAUAAUGUAUGUUUUGAUCUGUUAUGUCCAUUGAGGAUAAUGUUAUAUUUUCAUAAAGAAGAUUGGGACUUCAUAAUAGGGAAUUUUCUUUACACCUAUUUACAAGAUGUGAUUUUUGACUGAAUUAUAUACAUACAACACC